AUGGCAUUGCCGCUGCCCUCCGCGGUCUUCCUCCUGCUCCUCGUGGUGGCCUCGCCGGUGCUCUGCGCCGCGCAGAGCCCCAUCUCGCAGCCGCCGUCGCCCGGCGCGCCCACCGCGUCCCCGCUCCUCCGCCCCGACGCCGACUCCGACGAUGACAACGGAUCCUCUGUGCCCCCCUCCCUGGCCCCGGCCCCCGCGGGCUCCCCGGGCGAGGACAAGGCGGCGGCGGCGUCCCCUCCCGCGCCCACCGACACGUCCCCGCUCCCGUCCCCCGCCGAGGCCCCCUCCUCCGCGGCGCACUCGCCGGCGCCGGCGCCGUCGACGUCCCUGCACUCCGCCGCCUCCACCCCAUCUCCCGCGCCUGUCCCUGCCGCCGACAAGGAAGGCGACGACGACGACGAUUCCAAGGAGAAGAAGAUGAACGCCCCAGCGCCGGCCCCGGCCGCGAUGGAGGUGAAGGCCAACACGGGCGGCGCCGACGAGCAGCGGGCGGUGGACGCGGAGAGGCGGCACGGGGAGGGCGAGAUGAACGGCGGGACGAAGGCUGGCGUGGUGGUGGGAGUGUUCUCUGCGACGGCGGUGCUGUGCCUGGCCGCCGUGGUGUACCGGAAGCGGCAGGCCAACAUCCGGCGGUCCAGGUACGCGGACUACUCGGCGCGCCUCGAGCUCGUCUGA
rnacentral:rRNA from 1 species